rnacentral:misc_RNA from 1 species
GCACUUUAAGCGAGGAGGAGGCUACUCUAGUUAAUACGGCUAGGGAUAGUGGAUAAGCCAUUUACUCGCAGAAUAAGCACCGGCUAACUCUGUGCCAGGGAUCAGCCGCGGUAAUACGGGAGCCAGCAGCCGCGUAGUAAUACGGGACGCGACAGCAGCCGCGGUAAUACGGG